rnacentral:rRNA from 1 species
CCCUUAGAUGUUCUCGGCCGCACACGCGCUACACUGAAAGAGGCAACGUGUUUGCCUGAUUCGAAAGAAUUGGGUAACUCCCUAAUCUCUUUCGUGCUGGGGAUUGAGGUUUGCAAUUAUCCUUCAUGAACGAGGAAUUCCCAGUAAGUGCGAGUCAUUAUCUCGCGCUGACUACGUCCCUGCCCUUUGUACACACCGCCCGUCGCUACUACCGAUUGAAUGAUUUAGUGAGGACUUCGGACUGAGUCCAAUGCGGCUUUCGGGCUGCGUUGGUAUUUCGGAAAGAUGUCCAAACUGUAUCAUUUAGAGGAAGUAAAAGUCGUAACA